rnacentral:rRNA from 1 species
CACCUGAUCCCAUCUCGAACUCAGAAGUUAAGCCCGCCCGCGGCAAACCUAGUACCGAGGAAGCUCGGCGCUAACCUAGCUCGAUGCCCCCA